GGAUAUGGCAUAACCUGACUGUGAUGAAUGUCACCCCAGUGAUUAUCUGGAUUAAUUCCACUGGUCUGGUUGGCUAAUAAGCACCUCCUCUCAUUGAUCCCUGGGAACUCUCCUGAAGCGACACUCCUGGUCAGUGAAGCAGGCCUGCCAUAGUAGAUGAGGGAGCAGUCUUCAGCCAAGGGUAUAGGAGCAGCUACUCCUUGCUUGGACCCCAAGCAGCUUUCAAGAAAGUCCUAAGAAGAUUCCUCUGGUUCUAAUUA
rnacentral:snRNA from 1 species